GGACCCAGCUCCCCUCAUCCGGGGAAUCCGGACAAGUAUCACCCUAUCAUCAUACUGCCUCUCUGUAGCCGCCGCUUCCUGUCACAUAUUACUAAAACAGAUGAAGACCCCCAAAGUGACCCAAACAUUGGCCAGGUAGCUCAGCAGAGACUGAAGGAUCAGAAUAGUCCGAUGGACGAGAGACUCAGCAAAAAGAUAUCUUGCUCAAUUCAACGGCAUAAUAAUCCGGAUAUGAUAUUGAAAUUCAUAAAUAUUGAAAUCUGAUUAUAACCCCUGAUGAAGUCCUAUCGGACGAAACGCGUUGGAUUUCUUCAAACAUGUGGAUUAGAUCAUACAUCUGAAUAAUUGAAUUGAAGAUCUGACAUCUUAUGCAACAGCUGAUAUCAUCAGAAUACAAUUCUCCAAUUUAUUGUUAAAACAACAUGUUCUUGUUUAUUUGAUGUAUAUGAUCUUAAGAAAGGGAUUUUUAUUCAUUUGUGAUACUAAUAUUUACAACAGUGAUGAAGAUUUUAUUGCUAAUUUUAUGAAUAAACAAUUUUUAAUAUAAAUGUUUUUGAUCUUCUGAGGUGGUUUAAGCUCCCAUGAGAAUUCUGUUUUCUUCUUUCAUAAAUAUAUAUAUAUAUAUAUAUAUAUAUAUACACGCUAAUUUUUCCCCUCCUGAGCGAUAUAGUUUACUAUAUUGCCCAGUGUGUAUGCAACUGACGAAGAGCGAUGUGCGGCUCCGCGGGUCGUAAACGACCCUCGGUCUUGGCUUUGCAUGCAGCUCAAUUUGGACUCACUGUCCAAAGCUGCAUGCUUCGUCCGGCCGCGGCAUGACGUCACUUUGCGAUAAUGCUAGCGACAUCCAGUGCUUAAAGUGGUCCCAGAGAGCUGGUGAAACUCCCCCCCCCCCCGGCGCCUAUGCAAUAAAGAGAUAAAAGGGGCGUGUCUCAAGAUGAAAGGGGCAUGGUCAUGCAAAAGUAUCCCCAAUUAAAAUUAUACCGCACAGUGGCACAAUCUUAUUCACAUUACACCACAGUGGUGUCCCUUAUUCAUGUUGUAACACACAUUAGAGCCCCUUAUACACAAAGCCCACAGUAGUAACACCCCUAAUACACAUAAUGCACACAGCAGUAGCACCCCUAAUACACAUAAUGCCCACAGCAGUAGCGCUCCUUAUAGAAUGCCCACAGUAGUGGCACCCCUAAUACACAUAAUGCCCACAGCAGCAGCGCCCCUUAUACAGUGCCCACAGUAGUAGUGCCCCUUAUGCAAUGUCCACUGCAGUGGUAGUGCCCACAGUGGUAGUGCCCCUUAUGUAGAGCCCAUAGUAGGGGUGCCGCUUAUGCAAUGCCCCCCGUAGUAAUGCCCCUUAUGUCUCCAGGAGUGAUGCCCCUUUUUCAAUGCCCUCAUUAGUAGGGCUCUAGUAGUAAUGACCUUAGUGAUAAUGCCCCUGCGUAGUAUUGCCCCCAGUAGAAAUGCCACUGUAGUAGUGCUGCCUGUAGUUAUGCCCCCAGUAGUUAUGUCCCCAGUGGUAAUGCCCCCAGUAGUUUAGCCCUCAGUGGUAAUGCCCCCUGUAGUUUUGCCCCUGUAGUUAUGUCCCCAGUAGUUUAGCCGCCAUGGUUUAACCCCCAAUAGUUAUGCCCCCAGUAGUUUAGCCUCCCUGUAGUUUAGCCCCUUAUGCCCUCACUAGUUAUGCCCCCAUUAGUUUAGCCCCCUGUACUUUAGCAGCCGUAGUUAUGCCCCCAAUAGUUAUGCCCCUAGUAGUUUAGCCCCCCUGUAGUUUAGCCCUCAGUAGUUUAACCCCCCCCCUGUAGUUUAGCUCCUAUACUUAUAGCCCCUUUAGUUAUGCUCCCAGUAAUUUAGCCCCCUGAAGUUAUGCCCCCUGUGGUUAUUCCCCUUUAGAAGUGCCGCUUACAUACACACACAAAAAACAAACAAACCACAAUACUCACCAAGCCCUGCUUCUGCUUCCGGACCGCUGCUCUCCGCCUGGCCACCCACUCCUUGAAUUUAUGGGAGAGACGUCAUGACAUCUCUCCCAUAGCGCAGCGCCGCGCACUGCCGGAAGCUGGAGCUCAGGACUGAGCUCCUUCCCCCAGCUGCCGCUGUGGGGAGGGAGCCGGGUGCCAGCUGGUAACACAAUCUCAGCGGGCGCCUAGCAUUUCCCUGCAUGCAGGGCUGACAUCGGGUUAGUUGGGCUAGAGGAGGCGGAACUGGUUCCGUCUCCAAAUGGAACUGACGGAACGCAGUUCUGCCCCGUUCCAUCUCACUUUAACCCCUGGUGAUAUCGCACAGUGUGUAUGCCUGCUGUCGGGCGGCCUGGCCCGGGAGGGGAAACACUAGGUGAUGUCACUCACAGAGCACAUCAACUAGUGUGUAUCUAUCUGUAACGAGUCACCCAUUGUUACACAAAAGUCCCAUGAUUGAAGCAUCACACACUCUAUAUAAACCCCAGUCCUCCAGGAUGCACAAGCAGCUCCUGCUUAUUAAAAUUAUAUGUGGCAUGCAUAUAUUCUGUAUGUAAUUGCAGCUAUAGUGGCAUACCAAAUUAUGUUUGGUAGGGAAACACUGUAGCAUAACAUUUCAUAUGCAGAUACAGCCACAAUUACACACAGAAUAUAGGCAUGCCGUAUAUCAUUUUAAACAGCAGUAGCUGCUUGUGCAUCUUAUUCGCAUCAUUUUGCAUCUAAGAUGCAAUUUCCAGAGCAAAAUAUGCAAAAAUGACAUGUACAGUACACAAACUAUUUUGAGAUAUCAAAGUUUUUUGUUUUUAAGGUUAGAGAUCAUUUAAAAAAUAUAAUUUGUUGGAAAUGUGCUGUAAUUGUGUACUUGUAAUUGUUUUUUAACAUUGACAAAUAUAACUCGCCCCCCCAAAAAACAGCUCUUUUUAUGUCUGACUUUGUAGAACUGUUUUGUGUGAGAUUUCCAAGCUCAGACUCCAUUACAUCAGCCUGGUUGUAUAUUUAACAUGGGAAAAACAUCUGGAUCUGACUUUUGGCCAGCCAUGACUUUGCAUGUACUUGGAUGCCAUUACAUUGGCUGGGUUUGCAAAAUGUCUGACUUUUGUGGCAAAAUCUGACAUUUUACAAACUUAGCUCCAUAACAUCCAGGUAUGGACAGAACAGUCAUGCAGUCAGGGUGUAAUAAAACCAGUUUCAGUCCGCAGUAAUGCACAUGGGCCCUUUGAGGUAAGCAGUUGCUCAAUAGGUCCAAAUAAUUAUCCAGGAUAUAAAUAAUGCUGUUAGUUAGUUUAAAACACAGUCAGUGAGCACCAGUAAAUGUGAUGUCAAGGUGCAACAAGGUAAACAGUUCCAAUAUAUUUGCCAGUUGCCACAUUGAUAAUGAAGCCAAUCUGUGGCGCCUUAAUUAACAAGAAGUCCUCGCAGAAGAUGUCCAAACAACGCUGGAAGACAGAUACAUCUUUGUCCACUUAGUAUUACUGGUAACGUCACACAGCCACUGCGGCACGCCCCUCCAACGGUCCGGACACACCUGCAUUGUCCAGACUGCAACCUAAUUGAAUCUCCCCUGUGGAGUGCAUUUGGGCAUACAGAAGCAGAAUUAUAAUUAUUUUAUUUAUAUAACAUUGUAAAGAGAUUUAAAUAUAUAAACCGCAAUGGCACAGUCUUGCGACCCUGCUCACAGUCUAACCUUGAACUCAUUAAUUCUCUCUUUUAGGACAGGUAGAAUCACUAAUAUCAUGUGGUGACCUGUUGUGCCUGUGUAAUCCCUGUACUGUCUAGUCUAGUAUGUACAAUAAAAUGUUCUUGUUUUGAA